AUUGCUUCUCGGCCUUUUGGCUAAGACCAAGUGUAGUAUCUGUCCUUAUCGGUUUAAUUUGGCUGUUUGCUUGUUGUAAAUUGUCUUUAUUAAGUUUAGGUAGGGCCUCAUAUCCUUGAUCUCUCCCAGACUUUUAUCAUGAAGGAGUGUU
rnacentral:snRNA from 1 species